UUUAUAUUUUUUUCUCUCUCUCUCUCUCUCUCUCUCUCUCUCUCUCUCUCUCUCUCUGUCUAUACAACGAUCUUUUGACAAGACAGCCAGAGAGAGAGAGAGAGAGAGAGAGAUUAUAAAAAAA
rnacentral:misc_RNA from 12 species